UACGAAGGGGGCGAGCGUUGUUCGGAUUUACUGGGCGUAAAGGGCGCGUAGGCGGCGCGAGAAGUCGAGUGUGAAAGCCCCGGGCUCAACCUGGGAAUUGCGCUCGAUACUCUAGUGCUUGAGUUCGGGAGAGGAGCGUGGAAUUCCCAGUGUAGAGGUGAAAUUCGUAGAUAUUGGGAAGAACACCGGUGGCGAAGGCGGCGCUCUGGACCGAGACUGACGCUGAGGCGCGAAAGCUAGGGGAGCAAACGGG
rnacentral:rRNA from 1 species